UGUAUCGUCAAGAAUUGCUUGAAAUAAAAAAUUCAUCUUCACAGAGAUACCUCAGAUAAAAGAAAUGCUCAAUAGCUCCAUGCACCUCGGCAGUCCAGGGUCUCUCCCCAGCCCUUCAAACCCUGUUCAAAUAGAAGAAAUUGUCCCGGGUUCAGGUGUUUACGUACCGCGAAGUGUGUGGCGCUCUGCUUGCCAGGCAUCCAGUGGGACUUCAAUGGCAAGGAUUUUGCUGCUUGGGGUGUUUGACAUUGAAACACUCGUCAAAAGUAAUUUGAGAGGAGGGGAAUCCAAGGUUUCAAAGGGGG